rnacentral:rRNA from 1 species
AUUGAACGCUGGCGGCAUGCCUUACACAUGCAAGUCGAACGGUAACAGGUCUUCGGAUGCUGACGAGUGGCGAACGGGUGAGUAAUACAUCGGAACGUGCCCGAUCGUGGGGGAUAACGGAGCGAAAGCUUUGCUAAUACCGCAUACGAUCUACGGAUGAAAGCAGGGGACCGCAAGGCCUUGCGCGGACGGAGCGGCCGAUGGCAGAUUAGGGAGUUGGUGGGGUAAAAGCUUACCAAGCCGACGAUCUGUAGCUGGUCUGAGAGGACGACCAGCCACGCUGGGACUGAGACACCGCCCAGACUCCUACGGGAGGCAGCAGUGGGGAAUUUUGGACAAUGGGCGCAAGCCUGAUCCAGCCAUGCCGCGUGCAGGAUGAAGGCCUUCGGGUUGUAAACUGCUUUUGUACGGAACGAAACGGCUCUUUCUAAUAAAGAGGGCUAAUGACGGUACCGUAAGAAUAAGCACCGGCUAACUACGUGCCAGCCGCCGCCGUAAAAC